rnacentral:SRP_RNA from 1 species
GCGGGUUGUGAUGGCAUGUGUCUGUAAUCCAGAUAUUCCUGCAGGCUAAGGCUGGUGGGUUGCUUGAGGUCAGGAGUUUGGGGCUUUUGUGGGCUAUACUGAUCAGGUGUCCAUAUUAAGCACUAAUAUGGCAAGGCCUGGGGAGCUGAGAUGCACCAAGUUGCCCAGUGAGGGGUGAACUGGCCCAGGUCAUAGAUGGAGCAGGUCAAAACUCCCUUUCAUUGGUGGGGCUGCACCAUCUGAAUAACCACAGCAGACUUACCUGGGCAAGACAGCAAAACCCAGACACUU